rnacentral:misc_RNA from 1 species
AUUGUAUUAGAAAAUGGACCAUGAUACAACUCUGCCCCUUGUCUCUGCAGAUAGACAAGAAAGGGAACUCAUCCCUGAGGACUCCACAAAUGCCAGGCCUCUCUUUCAACACACAAAAAUUGAAACAAAAACGAAGGACCAUAUCCACAAAACACAUAGAACCAUUAAAAUUCUAUAUCAACACAACAUAUCAAUCAAAUGAUGAAGCCAUCAAAAAGGUAAGAACACAAAAUAUAGGGCAAAUGAAAAUUUUCUUCUAACAAUCAUAAAAGACGCCAUAACAAUUUAGGUUAAUUUGUAUUAAACUGCUUUGGUCAAAACCCAACACAACACACUAGUUUAAAUAAGCAUCCAAAGAAU